UGCCAGCAGCCGCGGUAAUACGGAGGGGGCUAGCGUUGUUCGGAAUUACUGGGCGUAAAGGGCGUGUAGGCGGUCUAUCGAGUCAGGCGUGAAAGCCCAGGGCUCAACCCUGGACGUGCAUUUGAAACAGCAAGACUUGAAUACUGGAGAGGAAAGCGGAAUUCCUGGUGUAGAGGUGAAAUUCGUAGAUAUCAGGAGGAACACCGAUGGCGAAGGCAGCUUUCUGGACAGAUAUUGACGCUGAGGCGCGAAGGCGUGGGUAGCGAACGGGAUUAGAUA
rnacentral:rRNA from 1 species